GCCACAUGAUGUGUUCAUAUUAAGAUGGAGCACCUUGGUGCCAGGACGACUUUUGAUCUAUCACCCAUGACUGAUGGCU
ensembl:snoRNA SNORD83 Small nucleolar RNA SNORD83